GUGGGGAAUAUUGGACAAUGGGCGAAAGCCUGAUCCAGCCAUGCAGCGUGUGUGAAGAAGGUCUUCGGAUUGUAAAGCACUUUAAGUUGGGAGGAAGGGCAGUAAGUUAAUACCUUGCUGUUUUGACGUUACCGACAGAAUAAGCACCGGCUAACUUCGUGCCAGCAGCCGCGGUAAUACGAACGGUGCAAGCGUUAAUCGGAAUUACUGGGCGUAAAGCGCGCGUAGGUGGUUUUGUAAGUUGGAGGUGAAAUCCCCGGGCUCAACCUGGGAACUGCCUACAAAACUGCAUGACUAGAGUACGGUAGAGGGUAGUGGAAUUUCCUGUGUAGCGGUGAAAUGCGUAGAUAUAGGAAGGAACACCAGUGGCGAAGGCGACUACCUGGACUGAUACUGACACUGAGGUGCGAAAGCGUGGGGAGCAAACAGGAUUAGAAACCCCGGUAGUCC
rnacentral:rRNA from 1 species